rnacentral:rRNA from 1 species
AGUGAACGCUGGCGGUAGGCCUAACACAUGCAAGUCGAACGGCAGCACAGUAAGAGCUUGCUCUUACGGGUGGCGAGUGGCGGACGGGUGAGGAAUACAUCGGAAUCUACUUUUUCGUGGGGGAUAACGUAGGGAAACUUACGCUAAUACCGCAUACGACCUACGGGUGAAAGCAGGGGAUCUUCGGACCUUGCGCGAUUGAAUGAGCCGAUGUCGGAUUAGCUAGUUGGCGGGGUAAAGGCCCACCAAGGCGACGAUCCGUAGCUGGUCUGAGAGGAUGAUCAGCCACACUGGAACUGAGACACGGUCCAGACUCCUACGGGAGGCAGCAGUGGGGAAUAUUGGACAAUGGGCGCAAGCCUGAUCCAGCUAUACCGCGUGGGUGAAGAAGGCCUUUGGGUUGUAAAGCCCUUUUGUUGGGAAAGAAAAGCAGCAGGUUAAUACCCCGCUGUUCUGACGGUACCCAAAGAAUAAGCACCGGCUAACUUCGUG